AGGUCGGGGCGGUGCCGUCGGGCCUCGCGGGCUGCCAGGUCCGCUCGGUGCUGCCCCCGGGGCCCGCCGCCUCCCCAGCCCUCCCCCGGGGCGGAACCGAAGGAAGGUCAGGUCCGGCCGCCCCGCCCCUCUCCGCCGCCGAGCUGUGGCUGUUCCGUGGGUGGCUCACUCACUAUUAACUUUUGACUUCAGCCACGUGCAGCUUCCAUGGCGGCCUCGCACGUUCCGGGGGAGAUUAACAUACAGGCGGGAGAGACGGCCAAGGUCGGGGACAGGGACCUGCUGGGGAACGACUGUCCGGAGCAGGAUAGGCUUCCCCCACGCUCCUGGAGGCAGAAGUGCGCCUCCUACGUGCUGGCCCUGCGGCCCUGGAGCUUCAGUGCCUCGCUCACCCCGGUGGCCUUGGGCAGUGCCCUGGCCUACAGAUCCCAGGGCGUCCUGGAUCCCAGGCUGCUGGUGGGUUGUGCCGUGGCCGUCCUUGCCGUGCACGGGGCUGGCAAUUUGGUCAACACUUACUAUGACUUUUCCAAGGGCAUUGACCACAAAAAGAGUGAUGACAGGACCCUGGUGGACCGAAUCUUGGAGCCUCAGGAUGUUGUCCGGUUUGGAGUCUUCCUCUACACUCUGGGCUGUGUCUGUGCCGCCUGUCUCUACUACCUGUCCCCUCUGAAACUGGAGCACUUGGCUCUCAUCUACUUCGGAGGCCUGUCUGGCUCCUUUCUCUACACAGGAGGGUGGAUUCCAGGAUGCCACACUGCAUUUAGGGGCCUUGAUUUCUAAUAAAUGAAGACAUCUAUCUACCUGUCUGUCUAGUUAUCCAGCUGGCCAGGUAGGCAGCUGGCUAUUUAUAAAAUGGCUUUAUGGAGGUAUAAUUGACAUACAACGAACUGCACAUGUCUGGAAGACGCAUUUUGCUAAGACUGACCUACGUACACACGUACACACGGUGCAACCAACCAUCGAUCUGCAGGCCCAUCAGAAGCAACCGUGAAACCAUCAUCUGGUAGGGAUUUUAGCUGCACCACGCAGCAACAAACGGCCAAGCUUAUUAAGAGUUUACUAAAGGCCAAAACUAUCUUAAACAUUUCACACGAAUGCAUAUAUUUAGCCCCUUUAACAACUGGUGCUAGAUUGGAUUCCGGCUGCCAUUGCUCUGCCCCCGGUCACAGAACGUGCUCCUACGCCCUGUGUCAGGUGACUUGGCAGGAGCCCCUCCUAGAGUAAGGGGAGUUUAUUUUCCCAUCUGUUGAGGACUGAAUUGUGUCCCCUGCCCCACCAAAUCCAUAUGUUGAAGCCCCAACCCCCAUGGACUGUAUUGGGAAACUGGGACUUUAAGGAAGUCAUUAAGGUUAAAUGAGGAAGAGACAUCAGAGGCACGUGUGCACAGGGGAAAGGCCACGUGAGGACAGGGGGAGAACAUGUCUGUCUGUAAGCCAACCUGAAACCGUCACUGCUGAUGCCCUGAUCUGGGAUUUCCAGCUGCCAGACCUGAGAGAGAGAAUACAUUUCCGCUCUACAGCCCUGCGGUGGAUGGUUUUCUGUUAUGGCAGCCUGAGCGGACGGACACACAGCCCUGCUGACCUUGGCCUUGGCCACGUGACUCACAUUGGCCAAUGACGUGCUGGCUUUAUGACUUGCGGUUUUCCCGUGUUUGGUGGAUUGGCUUGUCCUUCUCCGCACCCGUGAUUCUCUGGGAGCGAGGCAGAACCUGGGAAGCCGCUGGUCUUUGGAAGCACACGGAACUGACCUGAACCCAUUUAGUGGCCUGGACCCAACAAUGGCCGGUCCUGAGUAACCCCAGCGGAAGCGCAGCUCACCUGCAGACCGGUGGGAAAGAGAGUGACGUAGGGAUCCGAAAGCCGCUGAGGCUUUGAGAUUGGUUGUUAUGCAGACCCAACUGAUCAAUAACCAGUGAACUGAGGUACUAUCGUUAUCCCACAUUUUAUCAGUGAGAGGAGGCACAGAAAGGGGGCCCUGGAAGAUGGAGAGCCUGCCCAGUGGAUGAGGACACAGUGAGUCCGGGGUGGGGACAGUGGCUGCGAGGCUGCUACCCCGUCCCCUGGUGAAAACUGCACUUGCCUGUGACUGUGACCAGCCAGGACCUGUGAAUGGGACCUUCUUUGGAAAGAGGACCCUUGCGGAGGUAAUCGAGCUAAAAUGAAGUCAGACUGGACAAGGGUGGGCCGCAGCCAGUGACUGGUGUCAUUAAAGAAGAGGGACCUCAGACAGACACAGACGCCAGGGAGAAGGCUCCGUGAACAUGGAGGUGGAGGCUGAAACGAGGCACUGAGAAGCCAGGGGACACCAAGGUUCAGCUGCGUCGGCAGCCAGGGGAGGGCCAUCGCACUGACCCUCCCCUCAGAGUCUCCAGAAGGAGACAGUUGAGCCUACACUUGGACUUUGGACUUCCAGCCUCCUGAAUGGUAAGAGAAUACAGUUCCGUUGUCCUGAGCACCCUGGUCGGCUUCAGUCUGUCAAAGCAGCAAUAGGAAACUAACACACUGUUAGGCGGAAGCCAAACUCUGGACAGCCUGCUGGCCCCAUGGUGUAAUGGUUAGCACUCGGGACUUUGAAUCUCACCGAUCCCAGUUCAAAACUCUGAACACAAGUCUGGGGACAGUGGUGCUCAGUAAACUCUGGCUCCCUUUGGUCUCCUGGGGUUGACCCUUCGCCUCCACCCUCUUCUCCUCCCCAUCCUGGCUUCUCAGGUCAGGCAAGUCUGAGCUGGGGGUGACCGAGGCCGGGGCCGGCGGCCAGAGCAGGUCCUGGCCCCACGCCGAGGUCCACAGCACCUCAUUACAGGCCAGAAGGCAAUGCAAUUUCACCCAUGGACAGCCCUGAAAGCAGGGCCUUUACUAGGGUGAUCGAUGGGCCGGAAGCUGCUAUAGGGGCCUCCCACCACCUCCCAGCCCCCCUCCCGGGCCUGGCCCAUCUCCGAAGCCCCCAAGAAGCUGGCACACGGCAUGCUUCACAGCUGAGACACACAGAUAAACCUCAACAGAGUGCUGCGCUGUUGGCACCCGGUCCUGGAGCAAACGUCAGGAAAUUAACGGGUCUUUCCUUGGGCAGCGCCUGUAGGCUGGCCCCCGCUCCCGCCGGGCGCCUCACCCCUGCCUGCCCGUCUCCUUCUUCCAGGGCUUUG